rnacentral:rRNA from 1 species
CCUACGGGAGACAGCAGUAGGGAAUCUUCCACAAUGGACGAAAGUCUGAUGGAGCAACGCCGCGUGAGUGAAGAAGGGUUUCGGCUCGUAAAGCUCUGUUGGUAGUGAAGAAAGAUAGAGGUAGUAACUGGCCUUUAUUUGACGGUAAUUACUUAGAAAGUCACGGCUAACUACGUGCCAGCAGCCGCGGUAAUACGUAGGUGGCAAGCGUUGUCCGGAUUUAUUGGGCGUAAAGCGAGUGCAGGCGGUUCAAUAAGUCUGAUGUGAAAGCCUUCGGCUCAACCGGAGAAUUGCAUCAGAAACUGUUGAACUGGAGUGCAGAAGAGGAGAGUGGAACUCCAUGUGUAGCGGUGGAAUGCGUAGAUAUAUGGAAGAACACCAGUGGCGAAGGCGGCUCUCUGGUCUGCAACUGACGCUGAGGCUCGAAAGCAUGGGUAGCGAACAGGAUUAGAUACCCCUGUAGUC